AAAAGUUACCUUAAAGGUGAACCAGCCCUUUAAUCAAUGAAAUCACCAAGCACAGAUAUUUGCCGUCUGCUAACAAAACAGUCACAACAGAGGGUGAGGGGGACACUGUGAUGGUUAAGUCUAUUAGAAAUGAGUAGCAUUAAACUAGAAGCCACACGGCUUCAGUUUAUCAGUUCCCACCGAUUAAGUGGAAAGGAUUGGACCAUGUGAUCAGCUGGGCGGGGCUAGCCAUACAUUAGGCCUCAUAAGCGCUAAUAAUAAACAGAGAUGACAGUUCUGUGGCGAUCACGUGGCCCUGUGCCAAUUCAGGGAGAAUCGCUACAGUCGAUACUCACAGUCCCCACUGCAUUUCCCACAAACUAACACGAUAUCUCUUCCGCCCAAGCUGCCUGACAGACACGCCCCGUACACGCCUCCUUCCCGUAGCGCAGCCCUUCUAUUGCAGAGGCACGCAGCUAAACUUAGCUCCGCCCUUCUCAUUUCCUCCAAUUGCAGAAUCGCGCUGCUGGACUGAGUCCCUCCCCUCUAACUUCCCGCCUAUCGCAGAGCCGCACUUCUUCCUCAAGACCCGCCCUUCUCCUGGAAGUUGGGUGUAAGGAAGCUGUGGGUUUGUGGGGCUAAAGAGGAUGAAGAGGCGGAAGAGGUUCAGACCCCGAGCAGUGGCCUCCCGCAGUAGAUAACAAGUGCUCUCACCCUUCCCAGGCUCCAGCAGUACCAAAGGCCUCGUAUUCCGGCUCAGUGUUGUCCUACGGAAGGGGCAAGGGCUUCGGGAGUUCGGCUGUUUUCGUGGCUUCGGGUCCUUUGGCUGUUCACGGCACUUCCGCAUUUCGGGAUGGCCACAGGCUGCAGCACUGUCAAGGGAGGCCCGGCUCUUUUCAAAACUGCAGCACGGCCGGGCCCCCCAUCCUGCACAGGACACUUGUCCCCCCCUGAUGGUGGCCCUGCUGAAGAAUAAAGGCCAUAGUCGUAUCUGCCCGAAACUGAACAAGG